rnacentral:lncRNA from 1 species
AGCCAUCAGUCUCAAGUCAAAGUCCAGAGGCUCCAAGUCAUUUUAUUUAGGAAAAACCUACCCCUCUUGUUUCUGCAUUGCUUGCUCUUUGGGGGUUUUUAGUAUAGGUAUUUGUGAAGCACUUUGUGACAACUGCCGAUUAAAAAAAAAAAAGAGGCAUUUAUAAAAUACAUUUGAUUAAUAAGAGUAAUGGCAGUUGUAAGUGCAAGCUAGCUAUAUCUUUACAUUAGUACCGUCUAUCAUGACUGUUGGUCCUGAUCUGUUGGGACUACCUUGGAGACGUUGACGUGUCCUGAGAUCCAGCACUUGAGCCUUAUCCAUAUAUCUACAGUGUGCUUAGCGCUGGAGAACCGACGGUGCCUUACAGCCGGUCCCCGUCUUGGCUUCUCAGCUGAUGGUAUGGACAACAGCUGGCUCCAUGUGAACUACAAUCCCGAUGCUCUGUUUUUAGCGGUUUUUGUAACGUCGAUAAUCCUCGUUUACGAUACGGUUUUGGAAACGUUUGGAAUUUAAAAAGAUUCACCCCUUUUUGAAUGUUUGUUUGUUUUUGUUGAUCUUCGAUUCCCUAUCAAUUUUCCAGAGAGACAGUUAGUGAAUUCAUCUUAAAGUAUCUAGGUAAGACAACUACGUAUCACUGUCAUAGUACAGAGGGUAGUGCGUACGGCCCAGUACAUCAUUGGGGGCAAGCUUCCUGCCAUCCAGGACCUAUUUACUAGUCAGAGGAAAGCCCAAAAAAUUGUCAGACUCCAGUCACCCAAGUCAUAGACUGUUCUCUCUGCUAUCGCACGGCAAGCGCUACCGGAGCGCCAAGUCUAGGUCCAAAAGGCUCCUUAACAGCUUCUACCCCCAAGCCAUAAGACUGCUGAACAGCUAAUCAAAUUGUAUCCCGGACUAUCUACAUUGAUACUGUUUGUUUUUACACUGCUGCUACUGUUUAUUAUCUAUGUCACUUUACCUCUACCUUCAUGUACAGAUUACCUCAACAAACCUGUACUCCCCCACAUUGACUCGGUACCAGUACCCGCUGUAUAUAGCCUUGUUAUUGUUUUGUAAUUUUGUGUUACUCUUUAUUUUAUUUUUUACUUUUAGUUUAUUUAGUAAAUAUUUUCUUAACUCUAUUUCUUGAACUGCAUUGUGGGUUAGGGGCUUCUAAGUAACCAUUUCACGGUAAGGUCUUCACCUGUUUUUAUUCAGUGCAUGUUUAGUAAGAAUUAGAUUUAAUAAGCAAAACUAACCCACAAUGUCAGUGCUAUUCUAUCAUGGUCUCCACACACAGCCCUCACAUUUUCAGUCAUUUAGCAGAUCCAGAGCAACUUACAGUAGUGAGUGCAUACAUUUUCAUACUGGCGUCCUGUGGGAAUUGAACCCACAACCCUGACAAUGAAGGAAGCAUAAGUGUCCUCUCCUGUGCUGCCCUAUACAGGAAGGAAGCGUAAGUGUCCUCUCCUGUGCUGCCCUAUACAGGAAGGAAGCGAAGCGUAAGUGUCCUCUCCUGUGCUGCCCUAUACAGGAAGCGUAAGUGUCCUCUCCUGUGUUGCCCUAUACAGGAAGGAAGAGUAAGUGUCCUCUCCUGUGCUGCCCUCUAUAGGAAGCGUAAGUGUCCUCUCCUAUGCUGCCCUAUACAGGAAGCAUAAGUCUGUAGAGUUAGAGGAUGUGAAGUUCCAUCAGUGUGUCUGUCUGUCCCGCUUUGAGAACGACCGUACCUUCUCCCUUGAGCAAGGCACUUUGAGAACGACCGUACCUUCUCCCUUGAGCAAGGCACGUUGAGAACGACCGUACCUUCUCCCUUGAGCAAGGCACUUUGAGAACGACCGUACCUCCUCCCUUGAGCAAGGCACUUUGAGAACGACCGUAUCUUCUCCCUUGAGCAAGGCACUUAACCCCCUACAAUCACUCCAGGGGUGCUGCACUGCUGCUGACCCAUAGCUUCCAGACCCUGGAUCUUGCGGGAUAAACAGGUAAGUUUGUUGUAGACUCUAAAAGUUGUCAGAUCGUUCCACAGGGAUAAUGGUCCAUGUUGACUCCAAUGCUUCCCUCAAUUGUCCAGUUGACUGGAUGUCCUUUGGGUGGUGGACCAUUCUUGAUACACAUGGGAAACUGUUGAAUGUGAAAAACCCAGAAAUGUUACAGUUCUUGACACACUCAAAC